AUUGUUCAUUUAAUUAAAUUUCUAAAUACAAACAAAGAUCAAACUUAUAACUUAUAAAAGUAGACUUCCAAAGGAUGCCAUAUUCGCAUGGCUUAUAAACAAUAGUUAUGAUAUCAUUCUAAUAUAAUAUAUCCUAUACAUGCCAUAAGCUAAAUCCAAAUCACAAGGUUUUCAUAAUAGUAGAUAGUGUGAUGAAGUGCUGACGAUCCCCGAGCUGGUAAUCAGAGUCCACAAUCUAUAAAACAAAGACAAAAGACAAGCGGAGUAAGCUUACAUAAGCUUAGUAAGUCUUAAGUAAAACGAUAAUUUUGCAGAAUCAAAUUCAAUUAUCAUUUAUCACUCGAUUUUUCUAAUCAAUGAAGUCAAUCUAGAGCUCCAUAACGAACUAUAAUUUCAAUAACCACAUCAUUUAGUUACCACAAAUUAUUUCAUGAUAAUGACCAAAAUGGUCAAAUAUUCGUAUGCUCACAAGGCACACUUAGCUCAUAAUUACACUCCAAUCUAAAUGCCUCUAUUAUAGUUUAAUCGAAUACAUUCUUAUGGCAUAACACAUUGGCCAAAUGUAUCAUAGUCACAUGGACUGUGGUCACAUUUGCAUUCAUACACUUAUUCACAUAUGCAUCGCUUUGUAUACUUUUGAUCUAAUCCGAAUUGAAAAUCACAUACGAGUACCUGAUACAUACCUGGCCAACUUAAUGUACUGAACAUCUUUAACUGUCGUUUCAUUACUAAGCCUCAUCGUCUUAGACCUUGCAGAAACCCCGUUUAACAAUAUCAAGAGAUCUCACCAUUCCGUCAAAUAGUUCAAACCUCAUGCACGCAUAUAUAGUUUAUCUAUUUCUUCCAAAUUUGAUUCACAUAGUCUUUCGCAUCUAGAAACCUCAUAUCUACUUCUAAUUCAAUCAAUCAAACUAAAACAUAAUACUUUUACCACGUUUAGUUUCCAUAUUUAGAAGCACAUAGUAAUAUCAUAAUCUAUCAUGAAUAGAUUCAUAGAGUCACUACUCAUUUAGCAUAACAUAUACUCUUUCAAUAAUCAUAAUCACUUGCUCAAACGUACUCGUUUCAUGCACAUACAUGAAUAUAUAUAUAAAACUUAAUUCCUUAUUUCAUAAUCGCAUCAAAACUUUCGAGUAUUUCAACGUGGCAUGCAUUGAAUUACAGUAUGGGUACGCAAAGAACCAAACAUAAACCUUAUCACACAUACGUAGGUUGACAAAAUACAAUCCUUCCCUUGCAUUUGUACAUCUAGCCGAAUACAAUUUAUUCUCAAUUUAUAAGGCCUUUUUGGCCGAAUAUGCACAAUUACAUAUAUAAAUCUUAGCACAUACUUUUCUUUACUUAAAGCUCAUACGAUAAAUUUAAAUCAAAUACUUUGUCAUACUAACAACCAUUGACCGAAUAGAUUAUUCCCUUAUUCAAAGAUAUAAUAAUCAUUCCCACAUAUGUAUCGUUCUUUAAUACUAAUAAUUCAUCGAAUCGUUGGCCGAAUGUACACGAGUACAUACAUGAAAGCUUAGUAUAUACUACAUUAUACAAGCAUACCAAGACUGAUUAGGUCAUCCUCAUUUUCGCAAUAAAAUAAUCAAUCACAUAUACAUUUUUCUUGAAUGCUAGUGAUUCACUUUGAGGUAAACUUACAAAUGAGGAGGUAAUAUGUAUCUGAACAUCUUAAAUGUAUAGUACUUACUUGAUGGUAGCUCACUACGAACAUUCAAGAUCAUAAUCUUACUUAAUUCACCAGCAUUAAGCCUGCGGGACUUUAAACCCGGAUACAAUCCUAGCAUGAAGCCAGCGGGUCUCUAACCCAGAUACAAUCUCAGCACAAUUCAUUUAAUAAAUAUUUAUAUUUUUACUAACUUUGGCCUCAUUAAAUAUCUAAUAUUGCACACUUUUCACAAUUGGUCAUUCGGCCUUAUCACAUAUUCACUUACACAUAUAUCACAUUUCAUAUUCGGCCUUAUCACAUGUAUGCACUAUCACAUUCAUCACAUUGGCCAUUCGGCCUUAUCACAUAUACACAUUUUCACAUUCAUCACAUUGGCCAUUCGGCCUUAUCACAAAUACACACUUUCACAUUCAUCACAUUGGCCAUUCGAUCUUAAGCUAGAUAUUACACCUUGUCAUUUUAUUUCGUCUUAGGUACAAAAUCACAUUAGUAAAUUGAUUCAAAUACAUAAAAUUUUCCAUUCGGCCUUAGAACAUAUCAUGGCCACAUCAUAUUUUUCAAUUUAGCCAUUUCUAUAAUAGUAUCCAUUAAUCAAAACUCAAAAUAGGUUUAAUUACUUAGAGACUUACCUCGAAUGUCGUCGAACGACUACGGAUCAGCUAUUUGGUUAGUUUAGCUUUUCCCCUAUCCGAAUUAGGCUCCUUAAGCUCUUGAGCUUAAUCUAAAACAAAUUUAACUUAUUAAAAUCCCAUUGUGCUUGUUAUGGCCGAAUACCACAAGAAAUUUAAUAGGCCAUAUAACUACUUUUAGCUCAAUAUAAAAUAAUCGUACACAUAUUUAAUCACCUUAAACAAAUUACUAAGUAUUAUAGAAAAUCAAAGCAUACUCAUCAUUAGCCUUAUCCAUCUCAAUACGUUCUAAGUGACCAUAUGUAUAUACGUCUAUACUAAAGUGCUUUACAUUAAUAACACCAUAUCAACAAUGUAUAAUGCCGACCCCUUUAAACCAAUUAUCCAUACAAAUAUUAUUUGUACACAAUUCCUUACCUAAAUUUCACAUUCGGCAACCACUUAAUCAACUUAACAAAUUUUUUAUACUUCAAAACCACAAGUAAAUAUCAUAAUUUGUAUCAUUACAUCGAUUAAACUAAAUCAUGCAUUAGCUUUUAGCACAUUCGGCCAUUAAAGAGACAACCCAAUUAACAUUCAAACCUUUUUAAGCUUAGAUUUCCCAAGGCCGAAUAUCACAUAAAAACCUUUAAUACACAUGCAAAGUUUACACUUUAACUAAUUAUACAUAUACUAAUAAACCGAAUAUUAUUUAAACAACCAUUUGAAUAAUUCUUUAUCACAUGUUCACAAUCGGCAUAACCAUGUUACAAAUUCAAUACAUAAAAAUCUUCUUAUCCAAGGCUAUAUUUGACCUAUAUGUAUUUUCUUUACAACCAUUCAUCAACAAUUAAGCACAUGUUUAAUGGCCGAAUGCACAUACCUCUUACUCAUUCUUAACAGAAUUUUUUUUUAUCAAGCUUCCAUUUCCACUUAACUACGAACCAUUUAAAACAAUCAAUAUUUUACACAUUGUCGAAUGCAUAUAUAUAUUCAUCCAAACUCAUAAUUUCACAAGCUUAGUCUCAUUUAAUGACUACUUGUUCAUCAAGACAUUAAACACAUCAUGCAUAACAUACAAAGCAUCCUUAGCCAAAAAAAUACUAUCACAAAACUUCCUUGGCCGAAUGUCAUCUUUUUCCAUUAACUAGAUUUUGCCAUUGGCUUGCUUCAAUACUUGAGACCACUCAAAUAAAUAUUCAAACUUAAUCCUUCAUUUCAUUUCUCAUUUUAGCACAUAUUCGGCUAAUAUAUAAAUAUAUGCUAUCAAUUUAAUUACAAUUAUAAAUUUUCAACUCAAACUCAUUCUUUACCUCGUCUUUCACCUUAAUUCAAAUUCGGCAAAUAUAUAAACAUAUAUUAGCAAUUUAAUUAUAGCAUUCCACAAUUAAGCACAAGUUUCAUACUUCACUUUAAUUGCCGCAUACAAUUUGCUCAUUUUAAUCACCUAUAACCUCACUUAACAAAAUUCCAAAAACCACAUGCACUCAUUUAACCACCUUUUUAUUCAUCAAGGCAAUUAACACUCAAUUUAUAACAUAUUGUAAAUUCACGGCCGAAUGCAUCAAUAUUUUAAUAAACAAUAAUUUAGUUCAACUCCCCAUUCAAUUCCUCAUUCGGCAUCCGUAUAAUUACAAUCUAACAUUUAAAAUAUAAUUUCCAAGAACUUGGCACAACCUUACUUUACACUUUAAUAACCGAAUGAAAUUUUACUCAAACUUGCCCCUCAUAGCAAAUUUAAUUAGUCUAUCCUCAUCCAUAAACACUUAUCAUCAAAACAUCCACAAUCUAAUCCUUGAAGCCAUGACCGAAUGCUUUAUGAAAUAAAUUCACAAAAAUUAACAUAUGGGUCAUGUUGUGAGCUUCAAAAUUAACAACAUUUUGCAAAAAUUAAAAAUAAAAUACAUGAAAUCUCACCUUAAUUCCCAA
rnacentral:lncRNA from 1 species